rnacentral:lncRNA from 1 species
GCAUCAAGAUGGUGACACGUGGCAAGGAUUCCAAGGCAAAAUCUGGAGGGGUAAAAUUGGAAUGUAAUUUCAGAUUUAAUAAUUAAAAAAUAUAUAUAUUUUUUAGAUUUUCUCAAAAUAGAUAUAUUUUAGAUGCAUAUAGUUUCACACAAAGAUGCAUAAAGUUUUCACAUGAAAUGCAUAACUUUGAACAGAAAAAUGCAUUUAAUUUUUCCAAUUUUGGUAUUUUCACCACCCCACNNN